CAGGGAACUGAAACAUCUAAGUACCUGGAGGAAGAGAAAGAAAAAUCGAUUUCCUGAGUAGCGGCGAGCGAAACGGAAAGAGCCCAAACCAAGAAGCUUGCUUCUUGGGGUUGUAGGACACUCUAUACGGAGUUACAAAAGAAAGUUAUAAAUGAAGCGGUCUGGAAAGGCCCGCCAAAGACGGUAACAGCCCGGUAGUUGAAAUAGCUUUCCCUCCAGAGUGGAUCCUGAGUACGGCGGAACACGUGAAAUUCCGUCGGAAUCCGGGAGGACCAUCUCCCAAGGCUAAAUACUCCCUAGUGACCGAUAGUGAACCAGUACCG
rnacentral:rRNA from 1 species